UACAGAGGGUGCGAGCGUUAAUCGGAAUUACUGGGCGUAAAGCGUGCGUAGACGGCUAUCUAAGUCGGGUGUGAAAGCCCCGGGCUCAACCUGGGAAUUGCAUUCGAGACUGAAUAGCUAGGGUGCGGUAGAGGGAAGCGGAAUUCUCGGUGUAGAGGUGAAAUUCGUAGAUAUCGAGAGGAACACCGGUGGCGAAGGCGGCCUUCUGGACAGUGACUGACGCUGAGACGCGAAAGCGUGGGGAGCAAACAGG
rnacentral:rRNA from 1 species